CCUACGGGUGGCAGCAGUGGGGAAUAUUGGACUAUGGGCGAAAGCCUGAUCCAGCCAUGCCGCGUGUGUGAAGAAGGCCUUCGGGUUGUAAAGCACUUUCAGUGGGGAAGAAAGCCUUGGGGCUAAUACCCUCGAGGAAGGACAUCACCCACAGAAGAAGCACCGGCUAACUCCGUGCCAGCAGCCGCGGUAAUACGGAGGGUGCGAGCGUUAAUCGGAAUUACUGGGCGUAAAGCGCGCGUAGGCGGUCUGAUAAGCCGGUUGUGAAAGCCCCGGGCUCAACCUGGGAACGGCAUCCGGAACUGUCAGGCUAGAGUGCAGGAGAGGAAGGUAGAAUUCCCGGUGUAGCGGUGAAAUGCGUAGAGAUCGGGAGGAAUACCAGUGGCGAAGGCGGCCUUCUGGACUGACACUGACGCUGAGGUGCGAAAGCGUGGGUAGCAAACAGGAUUAGAUACCCUGGUAGUC
rnacentral:rRNA from 1 species